CCGAGUUUACAACUACCCAAACCCCAUGUGAACAUACCUUAAUGUUGCCUCGGCGGAUCAGCCCGCGCCCCGUAAAAACGGGACGGCCCGCCAGAGGACCCAAACUCUAAUGUUUCUUAUUGUAACUUCUGAGUAAAACAAAACAAAUAAAUCA
rnacentral:misc_RNA from 1 species